CUAACGAGCGCAAGUCAGAGGGUUUUCUCCGAACACACCCCGUGGCGCAAUGAAAGUGAGGGCCGGCGCACCCGCUCUGUCUCGCCCGCUCUGUCAGGGAGGUGGAGCGUGAGCGUGUGCGAUAGGAUCCAAAAGAUGGUGAACUAUGCCCGGGCAUAGUGAAGCCAGAGGAAACUCUGGUGGAGGUUUGUAGUGGUCCUGACGUGCAAAUCGGUCAUCCGACCUGUGUAUAGGGGUGAAAGACUAAUCGAACCAUCUAGUAGCUAG
rnacentral:ncRNA from 1 species